UUUCCGUAGGUGAACCUGCGGAAGGAUCAUUAAUGAGUUGUCAUGGGGUUCGAUGCUGGCAGCCAAUUUUUGGAUGCAUGUGCUUGCCCUAACAAUCAUCUUCCAAACACCUGUGCACAUUUUUGAGGGAGUCUUGAGUUGGUUGCCGCUCUUGGGUGAUUUUCUCACAUUCCCUUAAAUCAUUAUACGCUAUUAACAAUGUUGAACGUGCUCUGUGCCGUAAGGCUAUUAAUAUAACACAACUUUUAACAACGGAUCUCUUGGCUCUC
rnacentral:misc_RNA from 1 species